AAUUGGCUUGGCCCUUUGUGUUGUUCCCCAGCUAUUUAGGGGUACACUUUUUGGUAUUUAUUUAGCUCUAUUGUUUCCAGGGCUAUCCCCUUGUGGGCUUUGCCUGAGGGUCAUUCAGGGUUCGGAAAUGUUUUCUAUGAACCUGUUCAUUUUUCUUCCUCUUGUAACAGAAUAAACUGUUGGGUGUGACACUAUGACCAUUUUUUUUUCACUCUCAGUACCUCCUUUGCUCCAGUCACCACAUUUGCC